GACGAACGCUGGCGGCGUGCUUAACACAUGCAAGUCGAACGGAAAGGCCCUGCUUUUGUGGGGUGCUCGAGUGGCGAACGGGUGAGUAACACGUGAGUAACCUGCCCUUGACUUUGGGAUAACUUCAGGAAACUGGGGCUAAUACCGGAUAGGAGCUCCUGCUGCAUGGUGGGGGUUGGAAAGUUUCGGCGGUUGGGGAUGGACUCGCGGCUUAUCAGCUUGUUGGUGGGGUAGUGGCUUACCAAGGCUUUGACGGGUAGCCGGCCUGAGAGGGUGACCGGCGACAUUGGGACUGAGAUACGGCCCAGACUCCUACGGGAGGCAGCAGUGGGGAAUAUUGCGCAGUGGGCGGGAGCCUGAUGCAGCAACGCCGCGUGCGGGAUGACGGCCUUCGGGUGGUAAACCGCUUUCGCCUGUGACGAAGCGUGAGUGACGGUAAUGGGUAAGGAAGCACCGGCUAACUACGUG
rnacentral:rRNA from 1 species